rnacentral:rRNA from 1 species
UACAGAGGGGGCAAGCGUUAUUCGGAAUUACUGGGCGUAAAGGGCUCGUAGGCGGCCAACUAAGUCAGACGUGAAAUCCCUCGGCUUAACCGGGGAACUGCAUCUGAUACUGGAUGGCUUGAGUUCGGGAGAGAGAUGCGGAAUUCCAGGUGUAGCGGUGAAAUGCGUAGAUAUCUGGAGGAACACCGGUGGCGAAGGCGGCAUCCUGGACCGACACUGACGCUGAGGAGCGAAAGCCAGGGGAGCAAACGGG